GCCAGCGUGGUAUAGUGGUUUGAGCACUGGACUACGACUCUGGAGACCAAGGUUCAAAACUCUGCUUGGGCA